GUGUGUGUGCUUGUUUGUUGUAAAUAGUCUCAGGGGAUGGCUAGCAAUGAGCCAGGGUAACCUAGAGCGAGCUGAACACACAUUGAAAUAUUUUUUAUUCAUCAGAAAGGGAGUUAAAUGUCCCUCUGCAUGAAAACUUUUCGUUGUAUUAGUGAGGCUUCAAAUUAACCUCAUCUUCUCUAGGAUAAGGAUGUUGAAUUGAGGGAAUUAGAGACAAGAUAAUUAAGUCUGAAUGGGGGAGGCCAUGGACAAAUAGAUCUGAGACAUGAGGUCAUUGCCAGAAGAGGGAAACAAAUGUAGUCAUGGGAAAUGAGAUAUAAACACAUGGAAGAGAAUUCCUGAAAGGUAUGUGGAAAGCCACUAAUUCUAGAUCUUUUAUUUUCUUUUAAUAUUUUAUUGCAUAAAUUACACUUACACUUACCUUUCCCUGGUAAGUUUAAGGCAAAAAAAAACUAUGUUCCUAUCAAAGAUCUCUUCAGGCUAAGAGACCCUGCCCAAUGGGAGUGUGGUCACUAGACUAUGGUCACCUCCACUUCCUUGGAGUGUUUGUCUUUGCCUUUCACCGUUCUCCUAACUUCAUAUAUGCUCUCUUUAUUUUCUAUUCUAUAUUUUUAAUGUAAGAACUCAAAGUCAAUAAUAAGAGCAGACUUUUACAUGGUGUUUUAAGACUUUGCAUAUGUUGUUUCAUCUGCUGCGUACAACAAUGGUGUGAAGUAGGUGCUGUUAUCCCUAUUUUACAGAAAAUAGACCGAGAGAGGUUAUGACUUCUCCAGAAGUGCAACGCUUGGGAUCACAGUGGCUAAGCUAGGCUUUGGGCUCCCUUAGGCCUGAUUCCAACCUGACCCCUGUAUCCAUGAUGACAUCUAGUGGCCUUAACAGGAAUCCUUCAAUGAGAAGAGAAAGGGGCAGGGGGAACAAGAAGCCCCAAGAUGAUCUUCAGAAUCUCCCUAAGACAAUUCAGAUGCAAGUGUUUCAGUUUCCUGGCAUGACACUGGUUAACUGUGAAGGUUUCAGAGGUACACAAGGAUGAAGUCAGCACAAUAGCUGUUGACCAUGAUUUUGGUCUUAUUUUCUAUAUUUUCUUUGGAACCUUCCCCACACCGCACUAGCUCUGGCAUGUGAAUCAACCUCAUCAUCUGGGUGUACAUCCCUGGGAAGUAUACUGCUAAAAGUCAUCAAAGUCCAAUGAAAAAAUGAAAUCAAGGCAAUUGACCAUGGUUUGGGAAACAGCUGGUGACCUUGGAAUCUUUGAUGUCUAACUAGGCUCUGAACACAUCACAAUGCUUGUUUCUGCCACUUUCAUGGCCAUUGGAACAACUUGUUCUUAUUUAGCCAUUCUACCAGGGGAAUACACCUUUUAACUCACUGAAAGGUUUGAGACCCCUCAGUUACCUUCAAACAUGGUUUAGUUCAUCUGGCCAGAUAAUUUUAUUGGGCUGGGGCAACCUCAACUUCUUGGAGCCACAAUUAGGUGAACCCCAAAGAUAGAAAGCAGCCUUGAAAAGAACUGAGUAGCCCUCACAACAGAGGUAUAGUCUUAGCUAAAUAUAACUUAUACCCCUUAUUCAAUGUAAACUCUCUCCUAAGCUCCAAACUUAUAUGUCCAAUUGCCUAAUGGGCCAACCUUGAAUUGGAUGUCCUAUAGAAAUUUUAAACUCACAAUAUCCAAAAUUAAACUCAUUAUCUUUUCUUCCCAAAUCCUCACUCUUUCCUUACCUGUUGUUGUUGUUAUUGUUUCAUCAUUUCAGUCAUGUCUGAUUUUUUGUGACCUCAUUUGGGGUUUUCAUGGCAAAGACACUGACAUUUCUUUCUCCAGCUCAUUUUACAGAUGAAGAAAAGGAAGCAAACAGUUAAGUGACUAGCUUGGUGUCACAUAGCUAGUAAGAGUCUGAGGUCAGAUUUGAACUUAGAAAGAUGCAUAUUCCUGAUUCCAGGUUUAUCACUCUAUCCACUGUGCCACUCUGCCCUGUAAAUUAUUUUGCCAAAUAGAGGACCACACUAGCUACUUCUUUCUCUUCAAUAACAAUUAUCUCGAAGGAUAUAAACAGACAAUUUUCAGAUGAUGAAAUUGAAACUAUUUCUAGCCAUAUGAAAAGAUGCUCCAAGUCAUUAUUGAUCAGAGAAAUUCAAAUUAAGACAACUCUGAGAUACCACUACACACUUGUCAGACUGGCUGACAGGAAAAAAAUAAUGAUGAAUGUUGGAGGGGAUGCAGGAAAACUGGGACAGUGAUGCAUUAUUGGUGGAGUUGUGCAUGAAUCCAACCAUUCUGGAGAGCAAUCUGGAAUUACGCCCAAAAAAUUAUCAAACUGUGCAUAUCCUUUGAUCCAGCAGUGCUACUACUGAGCUUAUACCCCAAAAAGAUACUAAAGAAGGGAAAGGGACCUGUAUGUGCCAAAAUGUUUGUGGCAGCCUUGUUUGUAGUGGCUAGAAGUGGGAAAAUGAAUAGAUACCCAUCACUGGAGAACGGUUGGUAAAUUGUGGUAUAUGAAUGUUAUGGAAUAUUAUUGUUCUAUAAGAAAUGACCAGCAGGAUGAAUAUGGAGAGGCUUGGAGAGACUUACAUGAACUGUUGCUGAGUGAAAUGAGCAGAACCAGGAGAUUAUUAUAUAUACUUCAACAACAACACUGUACGAGGAUGUAUUCUGUUGGAAGUGGAUUUCUUCGAUAAAAAGAAGAUCUAACUCAGUUUCAAUUGAUCAAUGAUGGACAGAAGCAGCUACACCCAAAGAAAGAACACUGAGAAAUGGAUGCAAACUGUUUGCAUUUUUGUUUUUCUUCCUGGAUUAUUUUUACCUUUUGAAUCCAAUUCUUCCUGUAACAAGAGAACUGUUUGGUACUGCACACAUAUAUUGUAUCUAGGAUAUACUGUGACAUAUUUAACAUGUAUAGAACUGCUUGCCCUCUGGGGGAGAGGGUGGAAGAAGGGAGGGGAAAAGUUGGAACAGAAGUGAGUACAGGAGAUAAUAUUGUAAAAAAAAUUACCCAGGUAUGGAUUCUGUUAAUAAAAAGUUAUAAUUAUUUAAAAAAAAAAACAAUUAUCAAAUGAGAUCAUGUCUGGGACAUAUGUUGUUCAGUCAGUCUGACUCUUCAAGACCCCAUUUGGAGUUUUCUACAGAAGAGGUUUGCUAUUUCCUUCUCCAGCUCAUUUUACAGAUAAGGAAUAAAUUAAGGUUAACAGGGUUAAGUGACUUGCCCAGGGUCACACAGCUAGUAAGUGUCUGAGGCCAGAUUUGAAGUCAGGUCUUCCUGACUCCAAGGUUGGUGUUCUAUCUAUUGUUCCAUCUAGCUUCCCCACUUCUGGCAUUUUACUGGAAUUUUCUACUUCCUUGUCUCCAACUUUGGCUUCUCUGGUUUCUUUCAUAUCCCAGCUAAAAGCCCACCAUCUGUAAAAAUAUUUCCUGAUUCCUUUAAUGCUAAUAUUUCCUCUCUGUUGAUUAUCUCCAAUUUAUUAUGUCUACUUAUUCGUAUUUUUCAUGCUGUCUCCCCCGUUAAAUUGUGAGCUUCUUGGGAGCAGGGACCAUCUUUUUGUCUCUCCUAGCAGAAUGGCUGGCACAUAAUAAAAGUUUAACAAUUACUUGCUAACUUGACUCAAUAAUAACAAAAUAUUUAUAGAACACUUUCCUUGAAAAACAACUUUGUCAGAUAGGUAGUAUGCAUAUCAUUAAAUGAAGCCUAGUGAUUUAAAGCAAGAAGAGACCUUAGGGUUCAUCUAUUCCAACCUAUUCAUUUUAUAGACUAUGGUAGUAAGUCCCAGAGUGAUAAAGUCAUGUGUGUCUGGUUCCAGGGAAAGUGGGAUUCAAAUCUAUUAUAUGAAGGUUAGCUGAGAUGAGCUAUGCAAAGUCAACCAGUAGUUUUCUGAUGUCAAAACACAUCACCUGUUACGUAUUCCAGAGGCCAAUAAAGAGAGACAGAGUUCAGAAGAACUUAUUUCUUAAAAUGUAUUCUAAGUUUUAAUUUCCCUCUAGUCCAUGGGCUCCACAAACAGUCAAAGAAUCCAUGGAUUAAUGGAAAGAUUUUAGGGAGUUCAUGAACUUUUUAAAAAGUAUUUUGAAUACCAUAUUUUGAUAUAUAAGGUUUUCUUUGUAAUCCUCUGUGUCUUGUUAAAAGUUCCAGAAACACAAUUUCUGGAUAGCCAUUUUAUUAAUAAUCCCAACAUUUUAAUAAAAUAGGUCAUUAGCAUUCAUAUAGACAAAAAACCAUCAUGAUGGUGAGCUCAAGGCUUAGGUGGGGGUUGGAGAAGUGGUUGUUCCAGAGGGUGACAAUCAACUCUCAUAAUUAAUAAGUAAUGAGAUAAAAUGAAUAUUACAGUGAAGGGCAGGACCUAUUCCAGUGAACUUUGGUAAUGUUAUUUAUUUCUAAGUUAUUCAAACUUGGGCAAUCUGUUCAAAUAAUUUAUCCCUACUCAAAUCUAAGCAGAAAACAAUGGAAUUCCCUACCUGGUAGAAUCUGAACAAGAUUUUUUAAGAAGUCUAUUCCAAUCUCAUUAUCAGCAAUUCCUUCUAAAACUGAACUUUUGAUAUGGGGACUUUAAAAAGGGAGGGGAAGAUAGUAGGGACGCUAAAUCUCCCCAAAUCAUUAGUUACUAACAAUCACUUCUCUCACUUUGCAUUUUGUUUUUCACUUGAAAACAGUGUUAUAAGAGGGAAUUCAGACUCAUCAGAUGACCAAAGGGUUCCAUGACACACAAAAAGAGUAAAUUCCAGUUCCAUUGCAAUCUGCUUACCUGCUUGCAAUAGACCAGUGAAUUAAGAAUUCAGAACAAGGAAAUAUUUUUUUUGGUGAUAGAAUUUUCUUCUUUUUAUUUUUGUUUUGAUUCUGAACUAAACUGAUACCAAAUAAGAAGAGCAUGACUGUAUACAAAAUUGAAUAGCAGGAGAAUUAUACAUGAUGGUGUAAAUAUGUGUGAUGAACAGCUUGCUUUUAUUUUUAAUAACAUCAUAAACUCAGUAUGUUAUUUUUGUAUCUGUCCUGUGUGUUUGUUUCUUAAAGACUUUCAUUUUGUUCUCUUCUAUGUAUUUUGUAAUUUCUCCAAAGAUCAUAGUUUCUUAAUUUUUUUUUCCAUUUUGGUAAUCCCAUUGCUGUUCCCAUUCUUUUCUACCAAUAUGGUCAUGACUAUAUAUGUUCUUGGUUAUAGCUUGUCCUUGAGUUGGAAUCUCUUUGGAAUCUUUGUGGAAGGAUAACCUAAUUCUACUGAGUAAACUACUUUUUUUUUUAUUUUACAAAGUAAAAAAUGAUAGCUUGAGGUUCAUAUGUUUUUGUUAUUUCAAAUUGUGUUUCUAUUAAUACCUUCUGGUUUCGCAUCAUUAUUUCCAAAUAAAUUCUUCUCCCCCUUCUUA